GAUUGAACGCUGGCGGCAGGCUUAACACAUGCAAGUCGAGCGGAGUGAUGGUGCUUGCACUAUCACUUAGCGGCGGACGGGUGAGUAAUGCUUAGGAAUCUGCCUAUUAGUGGGGGACAACAUUUCGAAAGGAAUGCUAAUACCGCAUACGUCCUACGGGAGAAAGCAGGGGAUCUUCGGACCUUGCGCUAAUAGAUGAGCCUAAGUCGGAUUAGCUAGUUGGUGGGGUAAAGGCCUACCAAGGCGACGAUCUGUAGCGGGUCUGAGAGGAUGAUCCGCCACACUGGGACUGAGACACGGCCCAGACUCCUACGGGAGGCAGCAGUGGGGAAUAUUGGACAAUGGGCGCAAGCCUGAUCCAGCCAUGCCGCGUGUGUGAAGAAGGCCUUAUGGUUGUAAAGCACUUUAAGCGAGGAGGAGGCUACUGAAGUUAAUACCUUCAGAUAGUGGACGUACUCGCAGAAUAAG
rnacentral:rRNA from 1 species